rnacentral:rRNA from 1 species
GAGUUAAGGGUCCAACCAGGCAGAUUCACUUUUCUGCCACCGCAAUACCUUACCCAUGGGAUAAUGGAAUAGCCCCCCUGUCCUCCUAUCUUCAGUUGGUUAACUUGUAGAGGAUCAGGGUAAUGAUUAAUAGGGAUAGUUGGGGGCAUUAAUAUUUAAUUGUCAGAGGUGAAAUUCUCGGAUUUAUGAAAGAUUAACUUCUGCGCAAGCAUCUGCCAAGGAUGUUUUCACUAAUCAAGAACGAAAGUUAGGGGAUCGAAGACGAUCACAUACCGUCGUAGUCUUAACCAUAAACGAUGCCGACCAGCGAUUAGGAGACGUUGAAUCCAAAACACCACCCUACAUAAUUCAGUAUAUGGCCCCUCCCAUGGCCCCAUAUUGCUUGCGCAUGGCCCCCCCCGAAUGACUCCCUAGCAGCCCUCGCACACCCCGCCCCCCCCCCCCC